CCUACGGGAGGCUGCAGUGAGGAAUAUUGGUAAAUGGGCGCGAGCCUGAACCAGCCAAGUAGCGUGAAGGAUGACUGCCCUACGGGUUGUAAACUUCUUUUAUAAAGGAAUAAAGUGAGGCACGUGUGCCGUUUUGUAUGUACGUUAUGAAUAAGGAUCGGCUAACUCCGUGCCAGCAGCCGCGGUAAUACGGAGGAUCCGAGCGUUAUCCGGAUUUAUUGGGUUGAAAGGGAGCGUAGAUGGGUUGUUAAGUCAGUUGUGCAAGUUUUCGGCUCAACCGUAAAAUUGCAAUUGAUACUGGCAGCCUUGAGUACAGUUGCGGUAGGCGGCAUUCGUGGUGUAGCCG
rnacentral:rRNA from 1 species